AGGAUUGAGAGGACCUUUCCUUAGUACAAGAGGACCGGGAAGGACGCACCUCUAGUGUACCAGUUAUCGUGCCCACGGUAAACGCUGGGUAGCCAAGUGCGGGGCGGAUAUGAAACUUUUUCAUUUAUCAUUUAAACUAAAGCAACUUUUUAUUUCUAUAUGAAACCU
rfam:Gossypium hirsutum cultivar TM-1 chromosome 8, whole genome shotgun sequence